rnacentral:rRNA from 1 species
CACCAGCGCCUCGAGCGGUGAUCGCGAUUAUUGGGUCUAAAGCGUCCGUAGCAGGCUUUGUAAGUGCUUUGUGAAAUUGUCUGGCAUAACCAGACAGCGUGCAGAGUAGACUGCAGAACUUGAGACCGGGAGAGGUUAGCAGUAUUCCUUGGGUACCGGUAAAAUGGGUUAAUCCAAGGAGGACUACCAAUGGCGAAGGCAGCUAACCAGAACGGUUCUGACUGUGAGGGACGAAAGCUAGGGGAGCAAAACGG